rnacentral:rRNA from 1 species
GACGAACGCUGGCGGCGUGCCUAAUACAUGCAAGUUGAGCGCUGAAGGUUGGUACUUGUACCAACUGGAUGAGCAGCGAACGGGUGGGUAACGCGUGGGGAAUCUGCCUUUGAGCGGGGGACAACAUUUGGAAACGAAUGCUAAUACCGCAUAAAAACUUUAAACACAAGUUUUAAGUUUGAAAGAUGCAAUUGCAUCACUCAAAGAUGAUCCCGCGUUGUAUUAGCUAGUUGGUGAGGUAAAGGCUCACCAAGGCGAUGAUACAUAGCCGACCUGAGAGGGUGAUCGGCCACAUUGGGACUGAGACACGGCCCAAACUCCUACGGGAGGCAGCAGUAGGGAAUCUUCGGAAAUGGACGAAAGUCUGACCGAGCAACGCCGCGUGAGUGAAGAAGGUUUUCGGAUCGUAAAACUCUGUUGGUAGAGAAGAACGUUGGUGAGAGUGGAAAGCUCAUCAAGUGACGGUAACUACCCAGAAAGGGACGGCUAACUACGUG